UACUUUGCAUCCAUGCAGAUUAAACAAAGAGACAUUCGGCUAUACAGAAGGACAUGGAUAGUGAUGCAGACGCUGUAAUCCUAGAAUUACCCAGUUCUUCAUCAUCAAGAGCCUGUGAUGUCCCAGAGCAAAGGAAGACAGAGAGUGUAUUUGUGCCUCAAGAUACCCCAAAUAAAGAAAGUGGAAAGUCUGAAGAGGAGGUAAAGGCAGUGGAAAGAGAACUUUUGGACUGCAUCACUUCUGGCACGGUACCUGGUAAAAAGAAGUGUGAAGACUGCAUCAGGUCAGCGCCUCGAAUCCAUAAGCUCAGAACGUGGGAA